UUUCAGUCACACCUUUCCCCUAACUUUCUUAUUCUGGAUGAACACUCACCAUUUUCUUCUAUCCAACACAAGAAAUACAAACCAAUUUUGAGUGAAUGGACUACUACCAAGUAUUUUUGCUGAUACUUCCACUUAAGUGGGUAUCAAUUCAUGUGCUCACCUCCAAACUAGCAAGCCAGACUCUCCCCUCAGGCCCCAAGACUUUUCCAAUCAUCAGAAACCUCUUGGAACUUAGCAACUUACCCCACCGAGAUCUUUCAAAGCUCUCAAAAACUUAUGGACCCUUAAUGACUCUCAAGCUUGGGAGCAUAACAACAAUAGUCAUUUCCUCUCCAAACUUAGCUAAAGAAGCACUUCAAAAAAAUGACCAAGCUUUCUCUAGCCGAACCAUCCCAGAUAUGGCACGUGUAUAUGACCACCACGAAUUUUCAGUCGGGUGGUUGCCCACAAAUUCGAAAUGGAAGAACCUUAGGAAAUCUUGUACUACCCAAAUAUUUGCUACACAAUGUCUUGAUGCCACACAAGCCCUUCAAUAAACAAAGGUACAAGAGCUAAUUGACCAUGUUAACCAAAGUUGCCAAAGUGGUUCGCCCAUUGAUAUUGAUCGAUUAGUGUUCACAACAGUUCUUAAUUCAAUAUCAAACACUUUUUUCUCUAUGGAUAUGGCCCAAUAUGACUCUCAGUUGUCCCAAGAGUUCCGGGACCUUGUGUGUGGUGUUGCCAAAGAAAUUGGAAGGCCAAAUAUUGCAGAUUAUUUCCCAGCACUUCGAUUUCUUGACCCCCAAGGUGUAUGCAAAAGGACAAGGAUAUAUUAAACAAAAAUUUUAGGGAUUUUAGAAGGUAUCAUCAAGAAAAGACUGCAAUCAAGAGCUUCAUCAAUGGGUUCUAAAGCAGGCAACGAUGUACUAAAUUCACUCCGCAGUCUCAUUGAAAAAGAUAAUUCAGAGAUAAGCCUCCUUGAUAUCAAACAUUUGCUUAUGGACUUGUUUCUAGCAGAGAUCGGUACAACAUCAACCACUAUGGAAUGGGCAAUGACAGUGUUAUUACAAAACCCGGAAAAAAUGGCAAAAGCACGAGAUGAGCUUAAAGAAGUCCUAGGCAAGGAUGGGCACGUUCAAGAAUCAGACAUCUCAAAGUUCCAUUAUCUUCGAGCUAUAGUGAAAGAAACUUUUCGAUUGCACAAUCCUGUGCCAUUUCUAGUACCCCAUAAGGCUGAAACAAAUGUAGAAAUGUGUGGCUUCAUUGUGCCCAAAAAUGUACAAUUACUAAUAAAUGUGUGGGCAAUGGGACAAGACUCAAGCGUAUAGCAAAAUCCAAAUGUAUUUAUGCCUGAGAGGUUUUUAGCGCAAGACAUUGACUUUAAAGGCCAAAAUUUUGAGCUAUUCCAUUCGGAGCUGGAAGAUGGAUAUGCCCUGGAUUGCCAUUAGCUAACAGAAUGGUGCACUUGAUGUUAGCUUCUCUUCUUCACUACUUUGCUUGGAAGCUCCUAGAUGAGAUGAGGCCAGAAGACAUGGACAUUAGUGAGACGUUUGGGAUUUCCUUACAAAGGGCGGUGCCCCUCAGAGCUAUUCCCAUAAAAUCCUUAUAA